rnacentral:rRNA from 1 species
AGCGAACGCUGGCGGCAGGCCUAACACAUGCAAGUCGAACGAACCUUUCGGGGUUAGUGGCGGACGGGUGAGUAACACGUGGGAACGUGCCUUUAGGUUCGGCAUAACUCAGGGAAACUUGUGCUAAUACCGAAUGUGCUCUUCGGGGGGAAGAUUUAUCGCCUUUAGAGCGGCCGGCGUCUGAUUAGCUAGUUGGUUGCGGUAAUGGCUCACCAAGGCGACGAUCAGUAGCUGGUCUGAGAGGAUGAGCAGCCACAUUGGGACUGAGACACGGCCCAAACUCCUACGGGAGGCAGCAGUGGGGAAUCUUGCGCAAUGGGCGAAAGCCUGACGCAGCCAGGCCGCGUGAAUGAUGAAGGUCGUAGGAUUGUAAAAUUCUUUCACCGGGGACGAUAAUGACGGUACCCGGAGAAGAAGCCCCGGCUAACUUCGUG